AAGGCCACGCCCAAAAAUCCACGAAAUCAAAAAUCGCAUUGCAGGUCUCAAGCUCCGGCUUGCCGCGCCGCCGAUCACCGCCGGCGCCAUUACGGCAUCUUCUCGGGGUUGGAGUUCUCCACCGGGGUGGAAGCUCUGUAUCACAUCUUAGGCGGCGGCCGCCGUGGCGGUUGUGGCGGAGUUGAAGAUCUCCGAUAUUCGAAGUGGUAGUUAGGGUUUGGCCGCUCUUGGAGGAGGGUAGUGAGUGCUUGAUAUUGAAGAGCAGAGGAGGAGGGAGAUAAUGGCGUUCAAUUUCGCAACGCCAGCUCCGCAGCAGCAGCAGCAGCAGCAGCAGCAGCAGCAGCUGCCGUUAUUUGGGCAGAGCUCGCCGAUGCCGUCUUUCCAGCAAACUGGGUUUCAAUUCCAGCAGCCACAGCAGCAGCAGAUGCCGCAAAUCCAGUUUCCGCAGCAGCAGGUGCAACAGCAGCAGCAGCCACAGCAGCAGAUGCUUCUUUGUACGAAGGAUGGGACUGCAGUGGGUUACCAUACGAAGUUUGAGGAACUCCAUCCUGACUCUCAGAAGCUAAUGCUCCAGAUCCAAGAGCGAAUUAAUGAGUACAAGGAUGAAAGCCAGAGGCUAGAUCAGUGCAGCCGUCUUUAUGAUUCAUCAGUCUCUAGUGAUAGCUUUGAGGUUGAAGCAAGUCGUAUCAUUCAGGAACUUGGAGGAAUAAGCACUGCUAUGCAUAAGGAGAAGGCAUCAAUUGAAGAACUUAUGGAUGUAGCAAAGAGGAUGCUUUGGACCACAGAAUCUGCUAUACGUUCAUAUAUGAUGCUUAGGUCAAGAUUCAGUCGCCCAAAUGUCACAACCAGUUCAAGUAUUGGCACAUCAAACCAGCUUACUGGAAAUUCUGCCACCACCAAUCAACCAAUCACUAGCUCAUUAACACCUGUUUCAGAUUUCUAUUAUGGGGUUCCAAGCAGGCCCUCUCCAUUUAUGCAGCAAACAGGUGCCAGAUUUGAGAAGUAUCUUACUGAAUGUUCUCAGCGGAUAGAAGAACUGGAGCAGCUUUUGCUUGUGGAUAAUGACAGAUUUGCUUUAAAUUCCACGGGUUCAUCAUUGCAAUCUAUUCCAAACAUUAUGUCAAAUGUGCAUGAUUUCUUCAUUCAUGUUGCUGCGAAGGUGGAGAACCUACAUCAGUAUAUUGAAUCUAUGAAGGCAGCCUAUCUUGCUAAUCAACGACGUUGGGGUGAUGGAAAUGACCCCUUUCUUGAGGCUGAUAGACGAGCAACUGCUAAACAGGAAGCUGCAGCAAGAAGAGUUCAUCCAACCUUACAUUUGCCUGCAGUCCCAGCACAGCCAUCUACUCAAGGUGCUGGUUUGUUUGCCAGCUCUGCAACAACUAUAUCAAGUAUUCCUCAACAACCUGGGAGCUCCACAGCUUCUACAUCUGGUUUUUCAAUAUUUAGCACACCAUCCUCUGCAGCUGCUGCCUCUACUUCCUCAUUUCUUUUCUCUACUCCAACGGCAUCUACUCCAUCCUUGUCUGUUUUUGGUUCUUCUACCUUUACACCUCAAUCAACACCAUUUGGGACUGCCUCAAUGUCUCUAUUUGGUUCUGCUCAGACGCCAUCACAGGUUGGAACCAGUACCCCAUCCUUCACUCCAGCCGCCACAGGCAGCUCACUUUUCUUAACUCCAACAGUUGCCUCAGUGUUCUAAAUGCAUGUGGGCAGUCAUGGAACCGCAUAAGCAUAUGCAGCAUGCAGCGCAAUAUGUGAUUCCAAAUUAAGGUACUGUUAUGGGCUCGGGUGCCAGCUUCGGUGCUGCUGCGAGAUCAUCCAAGCCAAAGACUCGUGCCACUCGGCGUUGAUCACCUAAAUGAACCGGCAAAACUUUUCCGUAAGUCAACCCCGAGCACGCAACUCCUGCGUGGCACCGGUACAAUUUAAUCAUACAGAUGACCUGCUGGUGAUUUCUCAAAAUUUUUAUGUUCUAGUUACAAGCAUUCUAAUUUUUCAAUCUUUUGUCAUCAGACAUAAAACUAAGUUAUGUUGACAUCCAAUUAGUUUAUCUUGGUAUUCCUAAUGUGAAAUACAUUAAAAAUAA